GGGUGGGGUUUAGGAUUUAAGGUUUAGGGUUUAGAGUUUAGAGUUUAGAGUUUAGGGGUGGGGUUUAGGGUUUAGAGUUAAGGGGUGGAGUUUAGGAUUUAGGGUUUAGGGUUAAGGGUUUAGGGUUUAGGGUUUAGGGUUUAGGGUUUAGGGUUUAGAGUGGGGAGUGGGGUUUUGUGAUAAGAUUUCAAAUUUUGAAAAAUAAAAAAAUUUAAAUUUUUCAAAAGAUAAAAUGCUAUUUUGGUUAUUUUAGUUUUUGAGGGCUAUUUUUGUGAAAUAAACUUAGAAAUGUGCUAUUUUGGAGAUUUGCCCUUUAUAUUAUCGUUUAUAUCAAUUCUGUUUUCAGGUUUCUACAAUUCAUAUAUAUAUUAUUAAAAGAGAAGUACCUAUUUGAAAAUGUUUUUACUUCAUUAAUUAAACUCCCUCUUUUUUUUGCUUGUCUUUUUCAGUUGCAUUUAUGAAAUAUCCUAAAACGAAUAAAACUGCCUAAUUUAUUACUUGUCUUUUCAGUUACAUUAAUGAAAUAUGCUUAAAUGAAUUUAAACUUCCUAUUUUAUUGUUUGUCUUUUUCAGUUACCUUAAUGAAAUAUCCUUAAAUAAAUUUGGACAUAAUGUCAUUUAAUCAACAAAAAAAAACUCAUGAGUUAUCCUUACGUGCAUAAUUUUAAUAAUGGAGAUUUUUAAAAAUUUGCAUCAUUACAAUGUUACCUAAAACAUGCAGCACUAAUAUAUAACAUGCAUCAAUAAAACUAGAAUUUGACUCACACAAUUGUAGGAAUAUUAUUUUCAGUUGAUUAAAUUUAAAAAUAAUUAUUUAU
rnacentral:lncRNA from 1 species